ensembl:misc_RNA Gm27854 predicted gene, 27854
GCUGGGCGUGGUGGCACAUGCCUUUAAUCCCAGCACUCAGGAGGCAGAGGCAGGUGGACUUCUGAGUUUGAGGCCAGCCUGGUCUACAAAGUGAGUUCCAGGACAGCCAGGGCUAUACAGAGAAACCCUAUCUCAAGAAAAAAAAAAAAAAAGACAGGGUCUUACCAUGUAGCUUUGACUGUCCUGGAACUCACUCUGUAGACCAGACUGGCCUCAAACUUAGACAUCCACCUGCCUCU